rnacentral:lncRNA from 1 species
UCCAGCCACCAAGCCAAGUUACCCAACAAAACUUCCAAAACUUAAUGAAAAUAUUCCAACAACAAGACUUCUAGCAAGACUUCAGCCAAACUUCCAGCACCAAUACCAUCUUCCAAUAGCACUCUAAUUCCAACAUCAAACAAGGUAAAAGUCACCGAUGAAACUUAUAUGAGCAAAAUCGUCCACAUUAAUAAAGAGUAGUUGCUGCUCUUUCUGCUACUGUAAAAGAGCCGCAUUACGGUCUAUCAGCUUAGCAAUAAUGGCAGAAGUAAUUCCAGCAUGUAUUUUCUAUCCAUCAAGGCCAAAUCCACAUCCUUAGGGACUAAGAUGUCGAAUGAGAUAAUAAAUAAGUAAAAGGAAAACCCGAGGGAUGCUAAAACAAAAGUAAACCUAAAACUACAGGGAGAAAGAACCUCUUUUCCCACUACGAAGAGUUGUAUAAGAUGUAACUGUCAUUGAUGCUGUAGGCAUUAUUUGUCUUUUAGAUUGCACAUGUGAUGAUCAUG